rnacentral:lncRNA from 1 species
AGAGAAAGUGAAUCACUGUAGUCCAGUCCGAAAACAACCCAUAUUUAUAUAUAUAUUUAUAGAUAUGCCGUCUGUAGCAGUGAAAGGCAAGUAUGGGCCAGUGAAUUCCCGAUAAAUUACAUUCUUUACAUCCCAACAAGGUCUAGCGGCUGGAAAGUGGCUGGAAACAAAAAACCGGGGAGCGUGGAGGGGUCGGGGGAGGUGCGGGGAGAGAGGGGUCCUGCCCAAAAUGUGUGCCUGGAGGGGAGGGGGGUGAGGAGGGAAGGGGCUGCCCGGUGCCGAGCCCUGCCCGAGCGGCCGGGAGGGGACAGGGACAGCGCCCGGACCCCGGGGAGCGGCCGGGAGGGGACAGGGACAGUGCCCGGACCCCGGGGAGCGCCCGGGAGGGGACAGGGACAGUGACAGUGACAGCGUCCGAGCCCCAGGGAGGGGCCACCGAGCCGUGCCCUGCUCCAGUCGGUGGCUCCAGUUCAUCAUCUCAGUUCAGAGCUCUCCUGUGCCCCGAAAUCAUCACCUCAGUGUCCUGUUGUACACCGAAAUCAUCGCCCCAGUGCUCUCCUGCACCCCAAAAUCGUCGCCCCCCUGUUCUCUUGUACCCCAAAAUCAUCGCCCUCGUGCAUCCCCCCACACCCACAGCUGAAAACGCACCAGGGACCCCCCCACCCCAAAUCUGCCACCCCCAGGGUGCUCCCCCCGCCCCCGUGCCCAGCCCGGAGCCCUGGGGGGGUUGGCAGUGUCCUUGGGGUCCCACCUGGCACAGGAGGGACCGGGGGGGUGGGGAGGGGGAAAAAUCUGGGGGGCUGCAGGGGGGUGAGGUGGGGGAACAUCGGACUGGCAGUGUCGGCCCCCAGACCUCGGGGUGGGGACAGGGGCACAUUGGGGACACAGGAGCACCUUGGAGGGGACAGGGACACCUUGGGGGGGACAGGGGCACCUUGGGGACACAGGGACACCUUGGGGGGGACAGGGGCACCCUGAGGGGACAGGGGCACCUUGGGGGGGACACAGGGACACCUUGAGGGGGACAGGAGCACCUUGGGGUGGGGGACAGGGGCACCUUAAGCGACACAGGGGCACCCUGGGGGACACAGGGGCACCUUGGGGGGCACCCUGGGGUGGGGGGUGAGGGCAGGGACCCCCAGGAAGGAAGGCACCCUCUCAGUGCCCCCCCAGCGCGCUCCCAGCCGGGUAAAGCAGAGCCAGGCACAUUCCCGGGGGGACAAAAAGGGGGGGCACAGAGCCCAGAGCCCCCCAAAUCUCCCAUCCUGAACCGUGCCCCAGCCCUGUCACCCCGGGCCAGGCAGGUUCGAGCCCCCCAAUCCCAAACCCUGUGGGAGGAGUGAGGUGUGGGGAGCGGAUUUUGGGGAAAAAAAGAGGGGGGGACCCCAAUAAAAACCGGCUGAGAGCCCUAAAGCGGUGACACGGCGCGACACGGACUGAGGAGCACUCAGAAGAGGAAGGCUUUCUUCUUCAGCUCGUUGCGCUUCCACAGGGCCAGCUUGCUGAACUCCUCCGGAGACAUCUCGAACACCUUCAGGAAAUCCUCGGGGGACAGGUGGCGCUGCGGGGAGGGGACACAGAGGGUGGCGGAGGGUGAGGAGCCCUCCCGGAGUCCCCCGAGCCUGGAGCAGCCUGGAGGAGCCCCCUGAGCCUGGAGAAGCCCCCCGAGUCUGGAGGAGCCCCCUGAGCCUGGAGGAGCCUGGAGAAGCCCCCCCGAGUCUGGAGGAGCCCCCCGAGCCCCUCACAGUCCCCUGAGCCCCGCACAGCCCCCCAAGGAGGAACCUCUCGAGUUCUGGAGGAGCCCCCCGAGUCUGGAGGAGCCCCCCGAGUCUGGAGGAGCCCCCCAAACCCGGCACAACCCUCCGAGGAGGAGCCCCCCGAGCCUGGCACAGCCCCCGAGCCCCGCACAGCCCCCGAGCCCCGCACAGCCCCCCAAGGAGGAGCCCCUAAAGCCUGGAGGAGCCCCCCGAGCUCUGGAGGAGCCCCCCGAACCCCGCACACCCCCCCGAACCCCGCACACCCCCCCGAGCCCCGCACCGCCCCCACCUCCAGCCUGGUCCUGUCCACGCCGGGCGGGAGCUUCACU